rnacentral:rRNA from 1 species
CCUACGGGUGGCAGCAGUGGGGAAUAUUGCAAAAUGGGGGAAACCCUGAUGCAGCGACGCCGCGUGAGUGAAGAAGGAAUUUGUUACGUAAAGCUCUAUCAGCAGGGAAGAAACACUGACCUUACGGUCAGCAGACGGUACCUGAGUAAGAAGCCCCGGCGAACUACGUGCCAGCAGCCGCGGUAAUACGGAGGGGGCAAGCGUUAUCCGGAUUUACGGGGUGUAAAGGGAGCGUAGGCGGUGCGCCAAGUCUGGAGUGAAAUGCCGCAGCUUAACUGCGGAACUGCAUUGGAAACUGGCUAGCUAGAGUGCGGGAGGGGUAAGCGGAAUUCCUAGUGUAGCGGUGAAAUGCAUAGAUAUUAGGAGGAACACCGGUGGCGAAGGCGGCUUACUGGACCGUAACUGACGUUGAGGCUCGAAAGCGUGGGGAGCAAACAGGAUUAGAUACCCUGGUAGUC